GACGAACGCUGGCGGCGUGCCUAAUACAUGCAAGUCGAACGAAGCUUUUUUAACUGGUGCUUGCACCGACUUAAACAACUGAGUGGCGAACGGGUGAGUAACACGUGGGUAACCUGCCCCAAAGCGGGGGAUAACAUUUGGAAACAGAUGCUAAUACCGCAUAACCACAGAAACCACAUGGUUUCUGUGUCAAAGAUGGUUUCGGCUAUCGCUUUGGGAUGGAGCCGCGGCGUAUUAGCUAGUUGGUAAGGUAAUGGCUUACCAAGGCAAUGAUACGUAGCCGAACUGAGAGGUUGAUCGGCCACAUUGGGACUGAGACACGGCCCAAACUCCUACGGGAGGCAGCAGUAGGGAAUCUUCCACAAUGGACGAAAGUCUGAUGGAGCAACGCCGCGUGAGUGAAGAAGGUUUUCGGAUCGUAAAACUCUGUUGUCAGAGAAGAACGUGUGCGAGAGUAACUGUUCGUGCAGUGACGGUAUCUGGCCAGAAAGCCACGGCUAACUACGUGCCAGCCGCCGCGGUAA
rnacentral:rRNA from 1 species